rnacentral:rRNA from 1 species
AUUGGACGCUGGCGGCAUGCCUAACACAUGCAAGUCGAACGGCAGCGGGGGAGAAGCUUGCUUUUCCUGCCGGCGAGUGGCGAACGGGUGAGUAAUACAUCGGAACGUGCCCUGUAGUGGGGGAUAACUAGUCGAAAGAUUAGCUAAUACCGCAUACGACCUGAGGGUGAAAGUGGGGGACCGCAAGGCCUCAUGCUAUAGGAGCGGCCGAUGUCUGAUUAGCUAGUUGGUGGGGUAAAGGCCUACCAAGGCGACGAUCAGUAGCUGGUCUGAGAGGACGAUCAGCCACACUGGGACGGAGACACGGCCCAGACUCCUACGGGAGGCAGCAGUGGGGAAUUUUGGACAAUGGGCGAAAGCCUGAUCCAGCAAUGCCGCGUGUGUGAAGAAGGCCUUCGGGUUGUAAAGCACUUUUGUCCGGAAAGAAAUGGCUCUGGUUAAUACCUGGGGUCGAUGACGGUACCGGAAGAAUAAGGACCGGCUAACUACGUGCCAGCAGCCGCCGUAA